GCCCCCAUCGUCUAGAGGCCUAGGACAUUUCCCUUUCGCGGAAGUAACGGGAAUUCGAAUUUCCCUGGGGGUA
rnacentral:tRNA from 1 species